UCCCAACUUCCGACGUCCCGACGCUGACGACGGCCGACGCUCGAACCGACGAGUAGCCGAGUGAGCGACUCCGUACGUAGCGCUAUUUCAUCGCGAGAUGUGCCGUGAUCCGUGAUGAGUAUCACGAUGAUAUCGCGCAGUGAAUAAUGGACUAUUAUCGCACACAGGAUCGAGUGAGAAGACGAUCGCAGUGCUGGACUAACAUUUGGUCGAGAAUCGUCGCCCGUCGGAUAUCAACGUGAGAUUUAACUUACUUCGUACUCCAUCGCGAAAUAUUGGACAGCGGCUUCGUGAGUGUCCUGUGCAACGGAAGGAGGGGUGAGAGAAAAGAGAAGGAGACCUGACAAUCUAACCCAGACGUUCUGAGAGGAGGAGGAGGCCUCGGGCAAGGCUCGGGCCACAGCGGAGCAACCCUGGGACUCAUCGUAGCUACGGCGUGGCUGAAUAACUCCGCUCGUUGCGCAUCUGUUCGG